CAAACAGGAUUAGAUACCCUGGUAGUCCACGCCCUAAACGAUGUAUACUAGUUGUUGCUAAGCUAGUCUUGGCAGUAAUGCACCUAACGGAUUAAGUAUACCGCCUGGGGAGUACGGUCGCAAGAUUAAAACUCAAAGGAAUAGACGGGGACCCGCACAAGCGGUGGAGCAUGUGGUUUAAUUCGAAGAUACGCGAAGAACCUUACCCGGACUUGAUAUCUAACAAAUCAUCUAGAGAUAGAAGAGUGUCUGCUUGCAGAAAUGUUAAGACAGGUGCUGCACGGCUGUCGUCAGCUCGUGUCGUGAGAUGUUGGGUUAAGUCCCGCAACGAGCGCAACCCACGUCAUUAGUUGCUAACAGUUCGGCUGAGCACUCUAAUGAGACUGCCUUCGUAAGGAGGAGGAAGGUGUGGACGACGUCAAGUCAUCAUGGCCCUUAUGUCCGGGGCGACACACGUGCUACAAUGGCAUAUACAAUGAGAAGCAAUAUCGCGAGAUGGAGCAAAUCUAUAAAAUAUGUCCCAGUUCGGAUUGGAGUCUGCAACUCGACUCCAUGAAGCCGGAAUCGCUAGUAAUCGUAGAUCAGCCAUGCUACGGUGAAUACGUUCCCGGGUCUUGUACUCACCGCCCGUCACACCAUGGGAGUUGAUUUCACUCGAAGCCGGAAUACUAAAUUAGUUACCGUCCACAGUGGAAUCAGCGACUGGGGUGAAGUCGUAACAAGGUAACCGUAGGAGAACCUGCGGUUG
rnacentral:rRNA from 1 species